GGACAUCUAAUCCUAUUCUCUUGUCCUAGAGGCGACCCUCCAAGGGACCAACCACAGGGUCAUCUUGGGUCAGAUUGAAUUAAAAUCAUUGCGGAAGCAACUGUGGGGAUAGAUGGCAGAAAGCAGCUUCUUGGCCCAGCGCUUUGCCAAGCAGGCUGGUCACACCGGGCCAGGCCCUCUGGGGCUGGAGCUCGCUUGUUUGCAUGGCUCUCCUCCAAUGGCAGAGAGAGGCCACUGGAGGCUGGCUGCACUGCACUUCUCUCCAGGGUCCACCAACGAGGUUCACAGCAACUGCCCAGCCAGCAGCGUAUCUGAGUAUGCUUUUUGUGUAGACAUAAAGCUUUUAAAAGUUCCCACUUCAAGCCGGGCGUGGUGGUGCAUGUCUUUAGUCCCAGCACUCGGGAGGCAGAAGCAGGUGGAUCUCUAAGUUUGAGGCCAGCCUGAUCUACAGAGUGAGUUUCAGGGCUACACAGAAAAACACUGUCUGAAAAAAAAAAAAGAAAGAAAGAAGGAGAAAAAGAAAAAGAAAAGAUGUAUUCACUUCACCUCUCUCAUGGAAAAUGAAGCCCAGCACAGAAAACCACAACUGGACACAUACUGAGAUCAACAGAUCCUAAGGAGCCCACCCCAGUAGAUUCCCACUCCAGUGGGUUUGUCUACAUCACAGCUUCUGCUUCUAUAGCCCGGGGAAGUGGUGCCAGAAAGAUUGCCAGAACACCAGGACAUCUGCAGAGAAGUCUCUCCUAGAAAUAGGGCAGAAGCAAGGCUGAAGCAGUGUCCACAGACAUGAUAGCGUGGGAGGUUUGAGUCCCAACCCUAGACAAUGAACUACAAGCAACUAGUCAGAAUUAAGUCUCUCUCAGGGAGGAGCCCACUCAUUGGUCGUCCAGUGCAGGGUGGUCAGCCUCAAAACCAUAUAGACGCCAUCAACAAAGACAGACUCAGAAAGCUGAAUUUGUAUAUAUUGGUGUGCAUACACAUACAUACAUUCUCAUAUAUAUUUAACAAUAAUAAUCAAGAAAAGGCCAUCAGCUUGAGAGAAGGGGUACGUGGGGGUGUUGAGGGACGGGAGCUGGGAGGAGUUGGAGAGAGGAAAUGAGGAUAAAAAGUGAUGUAAAUCUAUUUUAAUUAAAAAUAUAUUAAAAAAAAACUAUAUGCUUCAUUCCAGAUUCAGGGAAUGUGUUUCUAUGUUUCCUAACAUAGAAACUAACUGGAAAAUUAAAGGAAAAGUUCUUUGAAGAUGUUUAAAGCAAAUAAUAAACCUUUAGGGUUUCUCACAGGAGCCGCCAGGCCUGGGCUGCUUCUGGACUCAGCUUUCCUAGUCUGUGUGUUGUGUGCUCAGGCAGCCAAGCAGAUGAGGAGUACUGGGAGUAGGACAUGCUUCUGGGAUAUCACGACAGGUGACUGUGGGAUGGAAUACCAGGACGUCUUUUCCAGCAGCAGUGGAGGCAGUGAAGGCACAGGAGAGAUCUGAGGCUCGUGGGAGGCAGGGACAGUCAACUGGAGCUGAAUAGAAGGCGCAGCACCACUCCUGCAGGAAAAGGACAUUUUGAACCCACCAAACUUCCUCUCAAGCGUUCUAAAGGCACAAGAUGUUGUUUCAAAUCCAGGUGCAAAAGAAGAGUCUGGGAGCCCAGGAAUGUGAUGUGGCCAGAGUACUGUAUUCUUCACAGUACUGACAUCUAUAGAGCCCUUACUAUACACUAGGCCUGUCCAAACCCUGGGUGGAUAUUAACUUAGUUAUCCUAAGGUAGGUUCUUUUAACACCCUCAUUUCACAGUCGAGAAAACAGAGGCCUAGCCAGGGUAAGCAAUUUGUACAAGUCAUCCUUGCAUGGUCUAAUCGGUUUCAGAGGCACGAUUGCUAGUUUUUGCACUGUCUUGCCUUCAUGCCCCUUGCAGUAUGUCUGGGUUCUCAGGGCAACCAUUUACCAUUGUGUAGUUUACAUCCACAUCCACGGGCCCAUCGGACCUCUUUCUGAAAAGGUCCUAGGGAGCGGAGAGAUGGCGUAGCAUUGACUCCAGGACAGACCUCACACACCUUUUUCAAGGCUAUGUCCCUGGGUAGUAAUAAUGCACUCAGGGUUCCUGACGUGGAACACGUGUUUGUUUCAUUGAGCCACAUGGAUUCAAUUCUAUCUGCUGGAACAGGAACAAGUAGUGAUACCUGAUGCUCAAGUUACAUGCAGCCCAGGAGAUGUAAGACCCAGGAUUUACUCAUCAACUGCUGAUGAAACAGAAUGAAGCAAUUAUAUCUCAGGUGCUUUCAGGUUGCAAGGGCAAAACAGGCCUGGGUCUGCACACCUGAUAGGUAUUAACUGCAAGGGCACAUGGGGAAAUGAGGAAAAGAGCGACACAGCUGUGCUUGGUCCCAGUGCUCCUAAAGUCGGUGAUAGGAGUGCCCUGAAGAAAUGGGACAGCGAGGAUAUCGUCUGCCCAGGUUGCUCUGGUGUUUGUUUUGUUUUGUUUGUUUUGAGACAGGGUUUCUCUGUGCAGCCCUGGCUAUCCUGGAACUCACUGUGUAGACCAGGCUGGCCUUGUACUCAGAGAUCCAUCUGCCUCUGCCUGUGCUGGGAUUACAGGUGUGUGCCACCACUGCUUGGCUGGUGUGUGUGUGUUGUUGAUGUUUUAAUAAGAACAUUACAUUCUUCUUUUGGACACAAAAGGGUGUCAGAGUCUAGACAUGAUAAAUAAAAGGGAGCUCUGUUUAGACAGAAUGGCCAUUUUCCUGGUGGCUAGCUUCCCUUGGCCUGGCAUAUGGAUUAUUUUGGGCCAGUUUUUUUUUUUUGUUUGUUUGUUUUGUUUUGGGAGGUCCUGGGCAGGGGUCACAGGCAGAUUGCAUUUAAUACAGAGGAUGUUAGCCAAUGUAACUUGGCCCAGAGUCUGGUUACUUUUCUCAUCACGGUGAGAAAAUAUCUGGGAGAAGCAAUUUAAGGAAGGAGAGGCCUGAGAGAACAUAGCCAUCAUGGUGGAGAAGGCACGGCAGUGGGAACAUGAGCUUGCUUGGUCAUGUUACUGCUGGGGUCAGGAAGGAGAGGGGUGAAUGCUGGUACUCAGCACACUUCCUCCUUCUCCCCUUUUCCUUGAGUCUGGGACCCGAAUGCAAGGACGGAACUGUCUAUAUUCAAGAUGGCCUUUUCUCCUCAGUCGAAAAUCUCUAAAACAGCUUCAUAAAUAUGCCCAGAGGUGUGGCUUCCAAAUGGGCACAAAUACAGUUCGUUUGUCAAUGAAGACUAACCAUCAUGGUUCCUUUGCUCAGAAAGAGGCUCUCAGGGUCUGCUGGACAAUAACCAUCUAAUUACAGAACCCACUAAUUACAGAAGUAGCGCUAGAAGAGACCAUAGAGACUACCUUUUUAUUUCAUAAAAAAUGCUAGCCAAGCUGGGCAGUGGUGGCACAUGCCUUUAAUCCGAGCACUUGUGAGUUCAAGGCCAGCCUGGUCUAAAGAGUACGAUCCAGGACAGCCAGGGCUACACAGAGGAACCCUAUUUUGCACAAACAAAUAAAAACCAGUCAAAAGAAAAGAAGAAAAAAAAGAAAAUGUUGGCCAAACUUAUAAAGAUGCUUACUUGCUCCAGCCAUUGUCUGAAGCAGUGUCUGGCUCCAGACUGCAGAGCCAGGAUGUGCCCAGAGAUGUCAAGAUACCCAGAUGACACGUUGCCAUCUCCAUCUCCAUUGUUAAAUAUGGUUCUUAGGUUAAGAGAAAAGGACACAGCAUCUAUUAGUAGCUGGGGGCCUUUGCUAAGUGCUGCCCAGGACUUUUUUCAGGAGUGGGGUUUUCUUGGCCAUCAGUAUUUCCACACCUUCCUUCCUCUCCCAAAUCCUUCUUAUGAACUCUGAGGUGCUUCUCCAAUGCAUUCUCAGUGCAGAAUGUGUGAGGAGCAUGAGGAAAACCCAAACCACAGAGCCAAGAAUCUGUCUGCAAAAGGGAGCCACAUGAGCAUCCUAAAGCAGGAUUUAGCUCUCAUGUGUCUGCUGCCACCCAAUGCCAGCCCCGCUUCCUGGCACUGCCUGCUGUCCUGGCAUAGGCAGGAUUCAGGCAGAGGGUACCCAGAACUUGUGAGGCAUGAAACACCAAGUAAACAGCCGGAGGAAUGCCUCCGAUUGAAUUUCGGCUCUCUGCUUGGGAACAUCUGUCCUAGCCUGUGGCUGGGAAAGGGAAUGUGGGGCGGGGGAGGCUAAGAUUACAGUGUUUUGAUCAAAGGAAGAGGUUUGGUUCAGGGGGCAGUUAUUAUUGGGAUGUUUGAUGGGGAGCCUGUGGGGACAUGGGGUGGGAGAAAGGGAGAUGGAGGAGGAAAGCAUUCUUCACAUCUCAACAUCUCCUUGUCCGCCGCCACUCAGCUCUAACUGUGGAAUUCUGCCUGCAUUUGCCUUCAGUGGGAGAUUCUGUGAUUAGAAAAAAAAAUUUUUUUGGAAGUACUGAUCUAAAUAGGAGACGCGGAGUGGGAUGGGUGAGCUUGCCAGCUUUGCAGGAUUUUCAUUAAUGUGGCUCACCCCAAGAGCCAGGCCUCCCUGUUCUACCGCACUGAGCUUCCUCGUGGGAAGGGGGUCAGGGCCACUGUGUGUGCAGCUCGCCUUGCUCUGGAAAAGUUCACAUGUUCUCAACACAGCCCAUAGCUGCUUCCUGUCCAGCCUCACCCUACCCUCCACCUAUCCCUAACGUCCUCUUUAAGAUGAGUUAGUUCAAAGGCAUGGCACCAACCGAAUAGACAACAGGGAUGAUUAAAAACCAAGGUGCGGGCUGGAGAUGUAGCUCACUUGGUAGAAGCUUACCUAAGGUGCACAAAGCCAUGAAGCCAGUUCCCAGCAGUUUGCAGGCAGGAGCAUGGCAGUGCUUGUCUGUAAUCUCAUAAGCUGGAGGCAGGAGGAUGAGAGGUUCAAGAUCAUCCUCAGCUACAUAGUACAUUUGAGGCCAACAUGGGACCCUGUGUCAAAAAUAAAAUCAAGGGAAUCAUUAUAACACAGUGACAAAGAAGAAGCAAGACAGGGUGGGAGAGAGGGAGAGAAAGAAUUCUAAGACCAUAGACACUCAGAGAAUGACUCCGGCAAUUAACAUCACUGGGUAGUCAAGCAAGCCUUUGAGAGUUGGUGACAAGGGAUAUGGAGGGUUUGAGGCAGUUCCUGCUGGCUCUGGUUAGGCAAAGUAGGCUAAUCAGAACGCUGUGGGAAGCCAGAGAAGACACAGUUACUCAUCUGAUGCCGCAUGAGGCUCCAUGAGCCAAUGGGAAGCUUGCCACUGUAACACGCCCUGCUGGAAAGGUCAGAGCUACCAUGGGAGGACUGAGAGGCAGCAGGCAGAUCAGAGGUGUAUUCUGAUAUUCACUGGAGGGCAGACAAGUCUCCAGAAACAGAGGACCGACACCUUUGCUGACUUCUGAAUUCCUGAACACCAGCUUGCUCUCCAAAUUCCAUGACGGGCAUCACACCCCACCUCCCCCGAUGCCUCCUUGAUAUUCUGCACACUUAGCUAUUAAAGGAAAGAUGACUUUUAAAAACAGCAUUCCCUAGGUAGUAGGUGUACAGGUGGGGGGAAUUGACUGAUCUGGGAGUAAUGACGACAAUGGGGAAGAUGAAGCCUAAGAGGGGGAAAAAUAAGAUUAUUAAAAGAUUGUAGAUUUUGGAGCAAACCCAUUCCCCUAAGAUUAGAGGCUAUGGGAGGAAAAAAGAAGGCCAAACUUUUCCACUAAGAUUCUGAGUAGAUGGAGUCCAGCCCAAGGUAAUGAUAGCAUAGUAAUUCAACUCUCUUGUCCCCACAACUAAAAAUAAGGAUGAUUAAAGAAUGGAAUCCCAGCUCUGCCAUCCCAGACAGCAGGCCUUGCUCCUGAACUUAUAAAGUGUGUAUGUCAAGCACAGUGGAGAAAGAAUCGUCUUUAGAAAUUCUCAGAAUCUUCCACCCAUCAUUAAGGAAAGGAAAGUUGAGAGCCAUAGGCCACCGUUGGGUGCCAGUGGGCUGAUAACUCUCUGGGUGGGGCAGUGAAAUGACUGGACCUGAUUCCUAAGUCCUCUGCCCUCCUCAGGCCAUUGGGAUGGUGGCAAUCUGCAGUUCUUCCAAGGUCUCCAAAGCUGGAUCUCCAAACGCUCCUGUACUAUUUGGAAUGUCAUCCACACCUCGCAGCCUCUUGUCUCCAAGUGUCUGUCACAGAGUUUGCUGCACUUACGUUAGGAACUCCCGUCACCCAGCUGUGCAGAAGAUCCAGAGCCAGCUGACACAUGAAACUGUCACUUUGAUAACUUCUCAGACCCAUUAACAAACCAAGUCUCACAAACAACAGGAGCCAAAGAGUGCCUCCUGUAUGCAGCCAGCCAGUGGGACACACGCGUCCUCAGAGGCAAGGCUUCAAGGUGUCUGAAGAGAAGCAAGGUCAGGUCUAUGGCCAAAUGGGAUAACAAGAGGCUGUCCAGGACUGGGAGAAGAAGAGUGAGAUACCAGGUGUGAUGGCGCACGCCUUUAGUCUCAGCACUUGGGAGGCAGAGGCAGGUGGAUUGCUGUGAGCUCGAGGCCUGGUCAACAUAUCAAUUUACAGGACAGCCAGGGCGGCAUGGAGAAACUCUGCCUCAAAACAACAACAACAACAACAACAACAACAACAACACAUCUCUGGGUCUGAGAAGGUGGCUGAGUCAGAAACGUGUUUGUUAUGCAAGCAUGAAGACCCGACUUUGAUUCCCCAGAGCCCAUGUAAAAAAGCGGGGCAUACUACAUGCCUGUAUGGUACAUGCCUGUAAUCCCAGCACUGGGCAGGUUGCUAGCCAGGCAGUUUAGCUGAACUGGCAAGCUCAGGCUCAGUGAAAGACGUUGUCUCCAAAAAAAGGUGGAGAAUGACUGAGAAGGACACCUGAUAUCAAUCUUCCAUGUGUAUGUGCGUUUCCCCGACCCUGAGACACAGGCAGCCAUAGACAGACACAGGCAGGCAGGCACAUACAGACGUGCACACAUCUUGAAAUGUCUUGAACAAUAACAACAAAACAAGGGACAAAUUUAACUCCAUCUCAUGAUAUGUAUGCAUUUUUGAGAUUCCCCUAUGUUAAAUGAUCUGAGUGUUUCAAAAUAUACUAAUUAAGGGAUAUGCAAAUUAUAGUAAUUUGUAAGAUAUACAAUGGUUUGCGAUCUAUUUGCCUUAUAUUUGAGGUCUACGGUUUAUAAGCCCCUUUGGCUUACAUGUAUUGCCUAUAACCAAAUUAUGAAGAAUCUUGUGAAGGGUUUUAGGAUACUAUUUAACUUCCUUUUCAGGCGCCUCUCUCUACCCUAAUACAGAUUUUCUGUUAUCUGUGGAGCGAGGGUUUUGGCUCGAAGGAGGGCACUGGCCACUGGCCUAACUCUCUCUUGCUUUCCUCUUGAGCCAUUCUUUCUUGAAGUUACCUUGGAUUCUAGGAAUAGGAUGACUGACCAAUCAACAUCUUAGUGACAAUGAUUUACACUACAUCCCCGAGCAAGAUGACCCCCCCCCCAAAAGGAGAGUCUGCACCCUGGAGCAGAAGGAGCAGACUCUCAUGGGAGCCAGAACAUACCUUUGAAGUGGUGACAGCAACAACUUUGGACCAUCUUGCAGAACCAGAAUAGUGACCAACCGGCUGCCACUGGAAAUGAGGCUCCUGUGGGCCAGAGAGGUCUCUGGGGAAAUGGCUAAGUAGCCAGUUUGGAGAAGCCAGGCUGGAAGCUUCGCUUUCUGGAUGACAGCCUCCCUUGAGCCCCUUUCUAGCUUGGAUACCUACCCCCUUCACAGCUGCCCAUACUUGUCCCACCUGUAUCUUGUUCACCUUGAGACAGAAAGAAUGCCACUAUCCAUCAUUGUUUUGUAAUCAUAAUAUUUACUCAAAAAGAUAGGUGUCAGGCUGGAGAGAUGGCUCAGAGGUUAAGAACACUCUCUGUUCUUCCAAAGGUCCUGAGUUCAAUUCCCAGCGACCACAUGGUGGCUCAUAACCAUUUAUAGUAAGAUCUUGUGUGCAGGCAGAAUGUUGUAUAAAUAAUAAAUAAAAUCUUAAAAAAAAAAAGAUAGGUGUCAACUGUUGAAAACGGAGCCAAGAUUUGACAUGUCUUCAAAACUAUCUCUAAUAAAAAUCAUUUCUUCCCUUCA